rnacentral:rRNA from 1 species
UACGAAGGGUGCAAACGUUGCUCGGAAUUAUUGGGCGUAAAGCGCACGUAGGCGGCUUUGCAAGUCGGAAGUGAAAGCCCUCGGCUCAACCAAGGAAGUGCUUUCGAAACUGCAAAGCUUGAGUACUUAAGAGGAUCGCGGAAUUCCCGGUGUAGAGGUGAAAUUCGUAGAUAUCGGGAGGAACACCAGUGGCGAAGGCGGCGAUCUGGGAAGAUACUGACGCUGAGGUGCGAAAGCGUGGGGAGCAAACAGG